rnacentral:rRNA from 1 species
CAGCAGCCGCGGGAAUACGGAGGGUGCAAGCGUUAAUCGGAAUUACUGGGCGUAAAGCGCACGCAGGCGGUCUGUCAAGUCGGAUGUGAAAUCCCCGGGCUCAACCUGGGAACUGCAUUCGAAACUGGCAGGCUAGAGUCUUGUAGAGGGGGGUAGAAUUCCAGGUGUAGCGGUGAAAUGCGUAGAGAUCUGGAGGAAUACCGGUGGCGAAGGCGGCCCCCUGGACAAAGACUGACGCUCAGGUGCGAAAGCGUGGGGAGCAAACAGGAUUAGAUACCCGCGUAGUCCCUGUCUCUUAUAA